ACGUGAUCUGAGUUCAGACCGGAGUAAUCCAGGUCGGUUUCUAUCUAUAACUGAGCUUAUUCCAGUACGAAAGGACAGAAAAAGCGUGGCCCAUGCUUAAAGUAAGCCACUACUGAUAAUUUCUGCCAACAACUUAAUUUAUGGUCAACCAACAACCUCCCUCAAAAAAAGAGA
rnacentral:rRNA from 1 species